GGUGUUAUUUGAAAUACUCUAUUUUGAAAAUUCAUUUGAAUUUCACCUGAAAUUUUUUUACGUGAUUUUCAUGUGAAAUUCACAUGAGUUUUACAUGAGAUUCAUGUGUCGCUCACCUUGGUCUAUUUGAAUAUUAAACAAAGGACGCAGAUGGAUUCAUGAGAAAAUUGUGUUUUGGUGAUGGUUUGUACAUCUUACUUUACUG
rnacentral:lncRNA from 1 species